rnacentral:lncRNA from 1 species
AUAACUUCCCUGGGCUAAUCAGUCAAACAGAUCGACCUUUCACAACAGCGGAUGUCCUCCCCUCAUACCCAGGCAAGUGAGCAGAAAGAAGGAUGUUAUGGGUGACUUGUUUCUCACAUGAAAAGCUAAAGUUUGGUUAGAAAUUAAUUUAACCUUAAAAUCGACCAAAAUGAAUACCUAAUGUAAGCUUCUGACAGGCAAUUAAAGUUAAGGAUUACCAAGUGUUUUAGGAAGUGGUUUUGGGGAUGUACUCUGAUAAUUACUUUGCAAUAUUGUCCAUAGUUUGCGGUCUUGACUGCAGCUUCGACAACAACCUUUGUAGCUGGAAUCAGAUGAUUACAGAUGCGUUUGAUUGGACCUGGCAGAGUGGUUCUACCCCCACGGAGAUGACAGGGCCUUUGGAUGACCACACUGGUGGUAAUAACUUCAUACAGUAGUUAUGUGAUGUUACAAAUGGUGACAAAAAAAGUAUGUUCACAAAACGUUUCUCCUAUUAUUCAGGUGGCCACUAUCUUUACAUUGAAGCCAGCAGUGUUACACAUGGAGACACAGCUCGCAUUAUCAGCACUGAGUGUUCUGACUCCGGUCCUCAGUGUCUGCAGUUCUGGUACCACAUGUACGGCUCGGCUGACACCAUGGGUCUCCAUGUAUACCUGUACCAGGACAGAGUGGCCACCGCUGUUUGGAGGAAAAGGAACGACCAAGGGAAUAUGUGGCACCUGGCUCAGGUGGACAUCACAACAACUGGAGCCUUUCAGGUGAAUCACCUCAAUCCGAAAAAUUGUAGAAAAAACAUAAUGGCAUUCACAGCAAAGGUUACUCAUGAAUAACAAAAUCCCUCAGAUCAUCUUUGAGGGACGCAGAGGAUCCACUGAUCUCUCAGAUGUGGCCAUAGAUGAUAUCAGACUUUAUAGAGGCGUCUGCUCUGAUCUGAUUAGCGAUUUUACUACACAACCUCAUCAAAAUGCCACCACAGCUGAAAGUGUCUCAGCGCCAUCCACAGUUACUCCUCAGACCCCAGUAAUAAAUGCCACCACACGUCCCCCAGUGGAAGCAACAACCAUCACAGAAAAUGACACAUCAACUUCUCUACAAACCCAAGAACCUGAUCAAAACAGCACAUCCACAGAAGGUGUCUCUGUGCCGUCCACUGCCACUCCUGAGACCCCUGUGAUCACAGUAACUCCUCAGACCCCAGUAAUAAAUGCCACCAGACUUCCUCAUGUGGAAGCAACAACUAACAUUAAUAAUGACUGGACAACAUCUCUAUAUUCAGUCUGCACAAUGGACUGUGAUUUUGAACAAGACCUGUGUGAAUGGAGUCAAACGCCCACUGAUGCUUUUGACUGGACAAGGCAACGUGGUUCCACUCCUACAACAAUGACUGGACCUUCCUCUGAUCACACAACAGGAAGUAAGCACAGACCCUAA